UGCGCAGGUGGGAAAAUAAGUCAGUGGUGAAAUACUGCCGCUUAACGGUAGAAUUGCCAUUGAUACUGUUUUUCUUGAGUAUGGUUGAGGUAGGUGGAAUGUGUUGUGUAGCGGUGAAAUGCAUAGAUAUGACACAGAACGCCGAUUGCGAAGGCAGCUUACUAAGCCAAUACUGACACUGAGGCACGAAAGCGUGGGGAUCAAACAGGAUUAGAUACCCUGGUAGUCC
rnacentral:rRNA from 1 species